UACGGAGGGGGCAAGCGUUAUUCGGAAUCAUUGGGCGUAAAGGGCGCGUAGGCGGCCAAGCAAGUCAGGGGUGAAAUCCCUCGGCUCAACCGAGGAAUUGCCUUUGAAACUGCCUGGCUCGAGGCCGGGAGAGGGUAGUGGAAUUCCCAGUGUAGCGGUGAAAUGCGUAGAUAUUGGGAGGAACACCAGUGGCGAAGGCGGCUACCUGGACCGGUUCUGACGCUGAGGCGCGAAAGCGUGGGGAGCAAACAGG
rnacentral:rRNA from 1 species